AUGAAGAUGUGGCGGCGGCUUGAGGGAAUUAGGCGGCGGAGGCCUGGGGACGACAUGGCGGUGGAUGUGACUGGAUGGCUGGAGGCCUUCGCCCACCACCCACACAUCGGAACCACCUCCCGCGUCGUCUCCAAGUCCGUUAGUUCUUCUUCUGCCUGUUGGUCUCUGUUAGUUCGUCACUCCAUCAUCAGGCCAUCAGUCAUCAGUCAUCACUACAGAUGGAGCAAAGAUGAGCAUUCAGUUGUACUUUCCACAUCCACUGAUUCCACCAUGCAGGUGCACAAAAAGUUAUGUCAUCCAAUGCACAUAAUUAGUCAGAAGAGGGAGCUUUAUGAUGCAGGAUGCAACCGAAACUCCAUCUUUAAGAUGCCUGAUGAAAAGUUUCCUUCUCAUGAUUUGCUUGAAUACGGAAAUAAGAAGCAUUUGCGUCUUUGGCAGCCAACCUUUGUAGACUGGAUCGUUGUUGUAUGUGCCACAAUUCCCUCCACGGAACACAAGCCAAGGAUGAGUCGGUUGGGCAUCUGUUCAACGUGUGUCCUUUCACUAAGGAAGUUUGGCAACUCAGAGGCUGCAAGCAUCCUGGCUUGGUGCCCAUUGCAUUCUUCAGGCCGGGACCAUUUCUCCCUUUGCUUUACUGCUUUGUUUCCUGUCUUAAGGACAAAAGUUGCGUCAUCAUAUGUCGCUUGGCAUAUCUGGAACGAGCGCAAGAUAGAUUUAUCGUAUCAAAACUGCAGACUUAAGAAGAUGCGUUAUUGCCAUGCGAUGGAAAUUUGCAUGGAACUGAAGUUCAAGUUGGGUCAGAAAGGCUCUAAAAAUUGUGGUCUUCAGCAAUCCUAUUGCUUUCAAAGCGGACACACAUGGAUGUGCCUGUCGAGAAGGAGUGCUCGAGAUUGCCUCUAUUUUGGUGAAGGUGCAGUUGUGCGCCUUCACCCAAUAGCAAGGUUACUCUGCAUAAGCGCUGAAGAAUAA
rnacentral:rRNA from 1 species